rnacentral:rRNA from 1 species
AUUUGCUCGGCGUCCUGGCUGACCAAGAACGCGUCGGCGCCGAGGCGCUCGAGCGCCUCCUCGCGCUUCCUCGGCGACGAGCUGAUUACGGUGACGGUCAUCCUGAACGCCUUGCCGAACUUGACGGCCAUGUGGCCGAGGCCCCCGAGGCCGACGACGCCGAGGUGCUUCCCCGGCGCGUUGAGGCCGUACUGCAUCAUCGGGCUGUACACCGUGACGCCGGCGCAGAGCAGCGGCGCCGCCCCGGCGAGAGACAGGCUCUCCGGGACGCGGAGGACGUAGUCCUGAUUGACGACGAGCACGUCGGAGAAACCCCCCUGGGUGGUAGCGCCGUCGUAG